UACGGGGGGGGCAAGCGUUGUUCGGAAUUACUGGGCGUAAAGGGCUCGUAGGUGGCCAACUAAGUCAGACGUGAAAUCCCUCGGCUUAACCGGGGAACUGCGUCUGAUACUGGAUGGCUAGAGUUUGGGAGAGGGAUGCGGAAUUCCAGGUGUAGCGGUGAAAUGCGCAGAUAUCAGGAAGAACACCCGUGGCGAAGGCGGCUCUCUGGUACGUGACUGACGCUGAGACGCGAAAGCGUGGGGAGCAAACAGG
rnacentral:rRNA from 1 species